ACUUGUGGGAAGUGCAGAUUCUUAAGUCUACCUCACACUUACUGACUCUGAGAUUCUGGGAAUAAAUCUGCAUUUUAUAACAGUCUUCCAUAUAUUUCUUAUGUGCUCUGAGAACCAGUGAGCCACUGAACUAGAUGAAAGAACUGCAUGGAAAAAUAAUAGGUUUAUACAGACUGCUGUUUCGUAAAUGUUCAGAGAACUUCCUCCAGCUAGAAGCAGAAGAGAAGAGGCAGAGGGGCAAACAGAAGGAUUCAAAAUAUAAGAAAGACUGAAUGCUCUGUUGGUUUGACAAUGGAGGAGCCACUUCAGAAGAAAUGCAGGUGUCAUUAAGGAGCAGAGAGAUUACCAGCUGACGGCCGAAUAGGAAGCAUGGUGCUUGCAUGUGCUCCUGAUGGGGCUUCAAGAAGAUAACAAUCAUGGAGGAAGGCAAAGGGGGACCAGCAGGAUCACACAGCGACGGCAGAAGCAAGAGAGAGGGAGGAGGCGCUGCACUCUUACACAUCCAGAUAUUGCGUGAACUCAGAAUGCAAACUCACUCUAGGAGGCCAUCAAGACAUUCAUGAGGGAUUUGACACCAUCAGCCAAACAACUAUCGCUAGGCCUCACCAUCAACACUAGAGAUGACAUUUCAACGUGAGAUUUGGAGGGGAUGAAUAUCCGAACCCUAUCGGCAGGUGAUAUAAAAUUAAAUGAAAAGAUUCAUACAGAAGAAAAUUCUGGUACAUUUGCUCUCAUUAGAAAGUAACAACUAUUAGAUUAAAAAUAAUUUAAAAUACUUUUGUUCUUUUUCUGAAAAUGGUAUCGGAAUAUAUAACAAAUUGAUUUCAUAUGUGCUACUUAUCUUAAUUUUAAUUAUUUUUAAUUUCUUAUGCUAAUGAUUUUAUUGUUAUGUGACCCAUUAAAUAUGUGAAAAUUUUAUUUUAUUGUUAAUAUGUGAAUGUAUUUUAUGAAUUAAUUAAUUAUUAUUUUAUUAUUUUAUUGUUAAUAUGUGAACCAUUAAACAUUUAUCACAUAUUUAAUGGUUCACAUAUUAACAAUAAAAUAAUUAGCAUAAAAGUCAUGAGAACUAUCCAGGAAUUCUUAGAAAAGAAGCUGCAAACUUUACUUGCCUUCCUUAGACAAAAGUAAUUUGAACAUGUGGAUAGAUUAUAUUACUAAAUAGAAAGACUUUGUGUGACAAUAAUUUUUAAUAAUUUUAAUAAUAAUUUUUAAUAGUAAGAAUAGCUAACAUUUAUUGAGUUUGUGUUCUAUGGUAGAAACUUAACUUCAUGCCUUACAUCAAUUAAUGCAUAUAUUACUGUCAGUAAGUCUAUGAGGCAAGUGUUAAUGAAAUCCCUAAUUUAAGAAAAUCGUGACACAGAACAAGCAGAGUUAACUUGUUCCUUUCACAUAUCUAAAGAAAGGUGGUUAAAAGAUUCAAGCACAUCCAGAUGAAUAUAGACACUGCACAGUUAUUUUCUAAAUUUAUCUAAAAUGUCACUAAAUUUAAAAUAGGAAGUUUUAUAAAACUAAAUGAACUAAUUUUAAAGUUCACAUGGAGUAACUGACAUUCCAUAAGAAGUUUAAUAUUUCUGAAUAAAAGGGAUAGAUUGCUCCUUUUCCAUAUAGAUUCGAAUGAAGAAAUAAAAAAUUGUAUAUUGAAUGGUAGGAAUCAUGCCCCAGAAAAGGAAGAAUAGUCAAUAAAAAGAAUUAAAAAUAUGUCAAUAGAAUUAUUUGGAAAAAAUGUCUUAUCUCAUAUUUUGAACUAACAAUAUACGGUAAUAAAAAUGUAAAUGAUAGAGUAGCCAAAUUUAAAAAAUUGAAGAAAUUAUACAUAAAUUUAUUUUUAAAAAGAAGGCAGUUCCAGGGACAUGAAAUGCAGAAAUAAUUUAAAAAAUCAUAAACACACACCACCAGCCAAUUUCUAAAAAAUAGAGCAACUAUUAAUAAAUAUAAAACUGUAAAAUUCAAACCAUCAAUCUGUCUGUAACACCUGUAAAACUCUCUUAUUAUUCAAAUAUAUAUUACCAACAAAUACCUGUUACUAACACAUAUCAACAUAAUCAAUAUUUUACAGGCAAAAAUUUAGUGAAAAGUGUUUAAAAUUAUAGUAAUAAUACAUAUUAAGUACAUACAGAUAUUUUUUAUUAAUCAUAAAAUAUAUAGUCUCACAAAUAAAAAUACAAAAUUUAAAAAAUAAGGAAUUUUUAACCAAGUAAUGUAGAAGCGAUAAAAAGAACAUUCCCUAUUUGUGGUAGAGAGUAAAGCAUUCUCACAUACGAAAAUGGCAUAUGUUCCUUGAACUUUAAUUGAUGAAAUAUAUCAAUAACCAUAACAUGACACAUAAUGCUAAUAUUAAAAAUUAUUUUUCUAUUCUUUUUUCUGAAGAAUAUAAUCAAAUAUGAUUUUUGAAUAUGUUUAUAAUUAUAGAUUCUAAUAUUCAUUAAAAUAUAAAAAAAUUUCUAGCUUUUAAAAUAUUGGCAGGGCUCUGUCUUUUGCUUUUGAGAUACAGAGGAAGAGGAGAAAAAAACAAUUAAAACAAGCAAACAAAAACUGCCAUGAGAAUGUUUAAGUAUACAGCCCAGAGUCCUAUAAUUCAUGUGAAGCUUUAUCAUAAAAUUUUACCUUAUUAUUAUUAGAGGAAGUGUUGCAGCUUUUUCACUCCUGUUGUUCGAUGGGUGAGAGAGAGUGUUACAGUUCUUUUACUCCCAUGGCUGGCAAGCUCCGGGUUCUUGUCCCACAACCAAAAAGAAUAAGGCACAUGAACAUGGAAGAGUAAGGCAGAAUCAAAUUUAUUAAGCAACAGAAAAGCUCUCAGCAAGGAGACGGGACAUGAAAGAAGGUUGGGAGCUAUGGGGCUAAGUUCAGGAAUUUUUAUGGACUGGGACAGGGUAGGAGGACACUGACUGGUCUGCCGACUGUCUUGGGUUCACAGAGUAGGUAUUUCCAUUCAAGAACACAGGCUCUUUCUUAUCUGGGGCCUGCAGCGUGAUUUUCAGGCUGUCCUUAGUUCAAAGAAGUUAUAAUGAGGACUCACCCUAACUGCCUGCCUGACCGACCAAUUUCUUCCUUCCUCCUCUCUCACAAGUACUUCCCCAAAAGUUAUUUCCCAAACUUGAGAGCAGCAAGAUUCCAGAAGCUUACUACAGGUAGGCAAAAGUUGAAAAUGUUCCAGAAUACAGUCAGUAAGAAAAGAUUCUGUUUUUGUUUGUUUGUUGUUGUUGUUUUAAGUAGAUUAAUGAUACAGCUUGCAGAUAUAUGCAGACACCAGUAAAUCAUUAUAUGA
rnacentral:lncRNA from 10 species